GCCGGUAGUUACGCAACAACGGCGAAAUGCAAAUUUUAAUGGCCGACAAGAGAGGCACUGCGACGCCUGUGGCGCGCGCAGUCAUAAUUACGCGAAUUGCAAGUUCCGGGACUAUGUGUGCAGCAACUGUCAGCGUACAGGCCAUUUGCGGCGGGUGUGCCCGGACUGGGGCGCGGCAUCGGGAACUGCGGGCCGCGGAGGAGCGCGAGCGCCGGCCCGGCGCGGAGGGGCAGCGGCGGCGGCGCCGGCGCGGAGUGCCAUGCAUUUUGGGGUGGCCGAUCACGAACCGAGUGAGGAUUACGGCGGAGACAUCGAGGAAGAAUUAGAUCACCUAUGUUUAAAUAACUACCCGGCGAUAUGAGGCGUUGUUCAACGAUGGACUGGGCCGGUACAAGGGCGGCAAGGCGACCUUGAGGGUGCGGGAGGGCGCAGCACCGGUGUUCCAUCGCGCACGCCCGAUGCCGUACGCGCUGCGCGAGCGCGUGGACGCCGAACUGGACGCCAUGCUGAGCGCCGGCGUCAUCGAGCCCGUCGACUGCUCGGACUGGGCGUCACCACUGGUACCUAUUAAUAAGGCGGACGGCUCCCUUAGAAUUUGUGCAGACUAUAAAACUACCUUAAACCCGUAUUUGUUGGUCGAUCGGUAUCCUCUCCCUAAAAUAGAAGAUGUUCUUGUAAAUUUAAAUGGCAAUAUGUACUUUAGUAAAAUUGAUCAUUCACGAGCGUACAACCAAAUUGAAUUGGACGAGUCUAAACGCUAUACGGUUAUAAACACCCACCGAGGGUUGUUCCAGUAUAACAGACUGGUGUACGGCUUAUCAUCUAGUGUAGGAAUAUUUCAGCGUAUUAUGAUAAAUUUAUUGGGUAAUAUACCUAAUGUACAAAUAUUUUUAGACGAUGUAAUUAUCGGGGGCAAAACUAAAUCGGAACAUCUACACGCUUUAGAAGCGGUUUUUCAGCGUUUACUUACUAACGGAUUGAAGUUAAGGAAAAAUAAAUGCGUUUUUUUGGCUAAGGAAGUUACAUACUGAGGGUAUGUAGUUUCUAGGGAGGGCAUCAAACCGGAUACAACAAAGAUAAAGGCGAUUCUACAAAUGUCUCAACCUCGUAACGUAUCGGAGUUAAGGUCGUUCUUAGGGACGGUCAAUUUUUUCGGUAGGUUUAUGAAAAAUCUCAGUUUAAUAUUGUCACCUCUUUAUAAACUAUUAAAAAAGGAGGCGGAGUGGCACUGGAGCAAGGAGUGCGGGGAAUCUUUCGUGCAGGUAAAACAAUUAUUGUCGGGCGCUAAAGUAUUAAGGCAUUAUGAUCCAAGCAAACGAUUGAUAGCAACUUGUGACGCGUCACCACGGGGGGUGGGGGCGGUUUUGACCCAAAUUGGACCGGAUGGCGAACGCCCGGUCGCGUACGCAUCUCGUACCAUAUAUAAACAGCGCGGAGGCGAAUUAUUCGCAGAUACACCGCGAAGCCUGAGGUAUUAUUUUUUGUGUAAAGAAAUUCCACCAGUACCUUUACGGACGUCAUUUCACAUUGCGCACAGAUCACAAACCACUAGUAUCAAUAUUUGGGCCGAAUACGGGUAUACCGACAAUGACAGCUAGCGAUGCAGCGGUGGGCAAUAAUAUUAUCAGCUUAUGAUUACGAAAUUGAAUAUGUGAAUACGAAGGAUAACUGUGCGGACGGGUUGUCUAGAUUACCUAAUGCCAAUGAGACACGGAAUAAUUCAGGUGAUGCUAUUCCCGAGCAAACAUAUCUGCAUUUCGCGCAAGACGCGUUGUUGUUAGUUUAUUAUAAGAUAAGGUACUACACUACGCGCGAUCCAGUUUUGGCUAGAGUGUUAACUUUUAUUCGCGAUGGUUGGCCGGAUAGUUGUGAUUUUGAUACAUUGAAGCCAUACUUUAACAGAAAGUCAGAAUUAUAUGACGAGUUGGGUCGUAUCAUGUGGGGGCACCGGGUAGUAAUACCGGAGAAGUGCCGCGAUAAGGUUUUAAGAAUUCUGCAUGAACCUCACAUGGGUAUAGUUAAGACCAAGGCGUUGGCCCGUAGCUAUGUGUGGUGGCCGGGCCUCGGCGAGGCGGUGGAGGCGGCGUGUCGCGAGUGCGAGCCGUGCGCCGCGGUGGCGAGCGCCCCGCCGCGACACCCGCCGCGCUGCUAGCCGUGGCCAACGCGAGCAAGGACUCGAGUGCAUGUAGAUUUCUUGGGCCCUUUUCACGGGAAAACUUAUUUAAUAGUAGUGGACGCUAUGUCAAAAUGGGUCGAAGUAUUCCAGGUUCCCAGCACGGCCGCCGUCCCAACCAUUCAAAAAUUAACCGAAUUAUGGG